rnacentral:lncRNA from 1 species
AUCUGAAAAAAAAAAUAUUGUGAGCCUAGCAUUUUGAGACUUUUUGUACAUUGGGUAGAAAAGUAGAUGCGGUAAAACUUAAGUUUACUUUUUUUCUUUGUAAUACUUGGGGAUUGGGUUGAUGAGUGAAAUUUCAUAUAAUUGUAACAAUUUUUCAUAUAGUAAAAAGUUUCGACGAUCCGUUUAAUUUGUAUGUUAUAUUCUUUAUUUUUCUUGUUUGCUAAUAUUCUUUUGAAUAACAAAAAAUCUUGUAGGUAAAUAGAGAUAAAUGGAAUUGGCGUAAAAUUUCCCAACAAGUGGUACUAAAGCGUCAAGUGGUUUGGAGUAUUGGAGCAACUGGAAAAUAUGUCAUCAUUGAAAUAUGAUGUAGAGAAAUUUGACGGGAGAAUCAAUUUUGGCUUGUGACGGAAUUUAUUGAUUCAAGCUGGACUGCACAAGUCUUUGAAAGGAAAACCAACCAAGAAUUCUGGCAAACAAGCUAAAUCAAGUAUGAGCGAUGAUGAUUGGGAAGAAUUGGAUUUGAAGGCUGCAAGUAUGAUACGUCUCUGUUUAGCUAAAAACGUUCUUGCAAAUAUUCAUGGAAUAUCUGCUGCAAAGGAACUAUGGGAGAAGCUAGAAGAGCUAUAUCAAAUGAGGAACCUCUCAAAUCGAUUGUACCCGAAUGAGCAAUUUCAUUCAUUGCGCAUAGAGACAAGUAUGAAAAUCUCGGAUCAUUUGAGUGUACUCAACGGGAUUGUUUCAGAACUGGAGGCUAUUGGAGUGAAGAUAGAUGAUGAGGAUAAGGCACUUCGGCUCAUCUGGUCUCUUCAGUCUACCUAUGAACAUAUCAAGCCAAUCUUGAUGUAUGGGAAGGAAAGUGUGAGUUUCGUAGAAGUAACAAGCAACUUGAUCUUAGAAGAAAGAAGAUUAGGGAGACAGAAUACUCCAUUUGACAAUUCGGUGCUUUUGACUGAAAAGGUGAGAACGGCAACUCCAUGAGAAAGAAAGUAACUUGUUGGAACUAUGGUCAGACUGGUCACGUAAAGAGAAAUUGUCCAAAAGAUAUAGCGGGGUCGACUAACUGCUUGGGCUCGGACAAUGCGUCUCUCCUAGAGGAGGAGGACGUGGAUGUGGUGCUAUAAAAUAAGAUGGGAACGUCCUUAUAGCAUGUUGACAGUUGCCAUGGUAGAUGAUGUGUUCUUACUGGGACGAGUCAGCAUAUCUGCACAUAGCAUUGACUGACAUUUGAUGCAAGAUGUGUAGGUAUGUGGUGGUAUUAUGAUGUUGAUGGCUGAUGAACUCCAUGGAAAAGUCAGUGGGAAAGUUGCACCAUAACUAUCAGCAG